rnacentral:rRNA from 1 species
AGCGGCGGAUGGGUGAGUAACACGUGGGGAACCUGCCCCUAAGUCUGGGAUACCAUUUGGAAACAGGUGCUAAUACCGGAUAAUAAAGCAGAUCGCAUGAUCAGCUUUUGAAAGGCGGCGUAAGCUGUCGCUAAGGGAUGGCCCCGCGGUGCAUUAGCUAGUUGGUAAGGUAACGGCUUACCAAGGCGACGAUGCAUAGCCGAGUUGAGAGACUGAUCGGCCACAUUGGGACUGAGACACGGCCCAAACUCCUACGGGAGGCAGCAGUAGGGAAUCUUCCACAAUGGACGCAAGUCUGAUGGAGCAACGCCGCGUGAGUGAAGAAGGUUUUCGGAUCGUAAAGCUCUGUUGUUGGUGAAGAAGGAUAGAGGUAGUAACUGGCCUUUAUUUGACGGUAAUCAACCAGAAAGUCACGGCUAACUACGUGCCAGCAGCCGCGGUAAUACGUAGGUGGCAAGCGUUGUCCGGAUUUAUUGGGCGUAAAGCGAGCGCAGGCGGAAAAAUAAGUCUAAUGUGAAAGCCCUCGGCUUAACCGAGGAACUGCAUCGGAAACUGUUUUUCUUGAGUGCAGAAGAGGAGAGUGGAACUCCAUGUGUAGCGGUGGAAUGCGUAGAUAUAUGGAAGAACACCAGUGGCGGAGGCGGCUCUCUGGUCUGCAACUGACGCUGAGGCUCGAAAGCAUGGGUAGCGAACAGGAUUAGAUACCCUGGUAGUCCAUGCCGUAAACGAUGAGUGCUAAGUGU